UAUUAUUAUUAUGACAGGUUAUGUCAGCUAUUAUUAUUAUUAUGACAGGUUAUAACAGGUUAUGUCAGCUAUUAUUAUUAUUAUGACAGGUUAUAACAGGUUAUGUCAGCUAUUAUUAUUAUUAUGACAGGUUAUAACAGGUUGUCAGCUAUUAUUAUUAUUAUGACAGGUUAUAACAGGUUAUGUCAGCUAUUAUUAUUAUUAUGACAGGUUAUAACAGGUUAUGUCAGCUAUUAUUAUUAUUAUGACAGGUUAUAACAGGUUAUGUCAGCUAUUAUUAUUAUUAUGACAGGUUAUAACAGGUUAUGUCAGCUAUUAUUAUUAUUAUUAUGACAGGUUAUAACAGGUUAUGUCAGCUAUUAUUAUUAUUAUGACAGGUUAUAACAGGUUAUGUCAGCUAUUAUUAUUAUUAUGACAGGUUAUAACAGGUUAUGUCAGCUAUUAUUAUUAUUAUGACAGGUUAUAACAGGUUAUGUCAGCUAUUAUUAUUAUUAUGACAGGUUAUAACAGGUUAUGUCAGCUAUUAUUAUUAUUAUUAUGACAGGUUAUAACAGGUUAUGUCAGCUAUUAUUAUUAUUAUGACAGGUUAUAACAGGUUAUGUCAGCUAUUAUUAUUAUUAUGACAGGUUAUAACAGGUUAUGUCAGCUAUUAUUAUUAUUAUGACAGGUUAUAACAGGUUAUGUCAGCUAUUAUUAUUAUUAUGACAGGUUAUAACAGGUUAUGUCAGCUAUUAUUAUUAUUAUGACAGGUUAUAACAGGUUAUGUCAGCUAUUAUUAUUAUUAUUAUGACAGGUUAUAACAGGUUAUGUCAGCUAUUAUUAUUAUUAUGACAGGUUAUAACAGGUUAUGUCAGCUAUUAUUAUUAUUAUGACAGGUUAUAACAGGUUAUGUCAGCUAUUAUUAUUAUUAUGACAGGUUAUAACAGGUUAUGUCAGCUAUUAUUAUUAUUAUGACAGGUUAUAACAGGUUAUGUCAGCUAUUAUUAUUAUUAUGACAGGUUAUAACAGGUUAUGUCAGCUAUUAUUAUUAUUAUGACAGGUUAUAACAGGUUAUGUCAGCUAUUAUUAUUAUUAUGACAGGUUAUAACAGGUUAUGUCAGCUAUUAUUAUUAUUAUGACAGGUUAUAACAGGUUAUGUCAGCUAUUAUUAUUAUUAUGACAGGUUAUAACAGGUUAUGUCAGCUAUUAUUAUUAUUAUGACAGGUUAUAACAGGUUAUGUCAGCUAUUAUUAUUAUUAUGACAGGUUAUAACAGGUUAUGUCAGCUAUUAUUAUUAUUAUUAUGACAGGUUAUGACAGGUUAUAACAGGUUAUGUCAGCUAUUAUUAUUAUUAUGACAGGUUAUGACAGGUUAUAACAGGUUAUGUCAGCUAUUAUUAUUAUUAUGACAGGUUAUAACAGGUUAUGUCAGCUAUUAUUAUUAUUAUGACAGGUUAUAACAGGUUAUGUCAGCUAUUAUUAUUAUUAUGACAGGUUAUGACGCUUAUGACGCUCGGUGUCCCAGUAAAAUGUUACCAAACUUUCGAUCUUAAAAUCAACACGUU